GCCACUGUUUUUUUUUUUUCCUCAGCCUCUUCCAGAUGUUCAUUAACUACUGUUGCCUCCAUUUAUCUAAGUUGGCACACAGAAGAAGUAGAAGAUACAAGGCUCAGAAUGACUAAGAAACAUACAGCUAGUGAGUGGUACAGGCUGGAUCUGGACCCAGAUGUGUCUCGCUCCAGAAUCCAUGCUUCUUCCACUCUGUCUCUGAAUUGGGAAUCAAAAGAUCUGCCAGAAGCUAAAAGAGCAAAUGUGUGAUUGAAAAACCAAUGACUGCUCUAAACUCACCUAAAGAGUCAGUGAGAAGGGAGAAUGUUUAACAGUGAAGCGCAGAAAAGGGCAGGGUCUGAGGAGCAGAACUGGGAGAUGAUUUAGCUCCGUGCAGCAGAAAGUUUGGUGACUGACGGAUACACAUCAAAUGGUUUCCCUGAAACACAGGCAGUGUUCCGGCUUUACAAGGCUGGGAUGCUGUCUCCCUUAUCUUUUAUGCGAGAUUUUAUCAUCGGCUUCCUGGAUACCUUGUUAGAGAGGAAUACGUGCUCUCUGUACCGCGGAGGACCCGGAAAGGAACAGUUCAGUGCUGGAAAGGAAAUUGCAGUUCACAGAGUAAAACACCGAUGAUCCCAUUGAUACCCUGGCCUCUAGUGAAUUCUAUUAGCAUGAGCCUCUUUCUCCGUGUACCUAAUCAGUAUGUCAUACUAAUGAGAUGAAGUUUCUGAAUGUGCACAUCUAAGAGAAGAAUACCAUAAAGGAAUCCUACUAUGAGGCCCCUAGAUGGCUAACCAGAGGGCCUCUUUCUGGUGACGCCGACCCUUGAGAAGUUCAACAAAGCGAGGUGCAUAUCACUGAGCACUUUCCAUCCCUUGCUGCGUCUCCACUUCCUGGAAACCUUUUCUGCUCAAAUUAUCCUACUUAAAGUUUUUGUUUAGAAGUGGCAUACAUCAAUCCUUUUUUUUUUUUUUUUUUUUU
rnacentral:lncRNA from 1 species